rnacentral:tmRNA from 1 species
GGGGCUGACCGGUUUUGACAGCGGGUAGAAGUGGUUUGUAAGCAUGCAGUGCGUCGUUGGCCGGCACUUUAAUCUCGGUUGAUAACAAAUUAACUGGCGAAAACAAUUAUGCUCUCGCUGCGUGAUCGAAGAAUAGUAGAUUAGCGCUUAAUCCUUACACAAGGUGUUUGGACGAGACGUCGCCCGAAAGCUCUGGCUUCGAAGCGUUCGAUAAGGCGGCGCAGGUGUAUCGGAGAUAGUUCGCGGGAAGUCCCGGACUGCGGAUGAAGAUUUAGGGACUAAGGUUGCGAUAGGUGGCUUCGGUCUUGUCGCUACUCGAAAAAAUAAGCGAAGAUAAGCAUGUAGAAAGCAAAUUAGUUCCUCGUUUGGACGAGAGUUCGAAUCUCUCCAGCUCCACAA